GAUGAAGAACGCAGCGAAAUGCGAUAAGUAAUGUGAAUUGCAGAAUUCAGUGAAUCAUCGAAUCUUUGAACGCACAUUGCGCCCGCCAGUAUUCUGGCAGGCAUGCCUGUUCGAGCGUCAUUACAACCCUCAGGCCCCCGGGCCUGGCGUUGGGGAUCGGCGGAAGCCCCCUGUGGGCACACGCCGUCCCUCAAAUACAGUGGCGGUCCCGCCGCAGCUUCCAUUGCGUAGUAGCUAACACCUCGCAACUGGAGAGCGGCGCGGCCAUGCCGUAAAACACCCAACUUCUGAAUGUUGACCUCGAAUCAGGUAGGAAUACCCGCUGAACUUAAGCAUAUCAAUAAGCGGAGGA
rnacentral:misc_RNA from 1 species